ACGGGAGGCAGCAGUGGGGAAUUUUGCGCAAUGGGGGAAACCCUGACGCAGCAACGCCGCGUGCGGGAUGAAGGCCUUCGGGUCGUAAACCGCUUUCAGCAGGGAAGACAUCGACUGUACCUGCAGAAGAAGCUCCGGCUAAAUACGUGCCAGCAGCCGCGGUAAUACGUAUGGAGCAAGCGUUAUCCGGAUUCAUUGGGCGUAAAGCGCGCGUAGGCGGCUUGCUAAGUCGGGUGUCAAAUCCUAGGGCUCAACCCUAGUCCGCACCCGAAACUGGCAGGCUUGAGUGCGGUAGGGGAAAGUGGAAUUCCCAGUGUAGCGGUGAAAUGCGCAGAUAUUGGGAAGAACACCGGUGGCGAAGGCGGCUUUCUGGGCCGACACUGACGCUGAGGCGCGAAAGCUAGGGGAGCGAACAGGAUUAGAUACCCUGGUA
rnacentral:rRNA from 1 species